rnacentral:lncRNA from 1 species
CCGCCGGAUCAGGAGGGCGGGGGCGGGGCGGGCAGUGCCGCAGUGGCCUCAGCUGGGGAGCCGACUGCGGGCGGAGGGUUAACUCUUCAAGCUGCUGGCUCGCGGGCUCACUGCCCCCAUCCCCCUGCCCGUUACCCCGUUCUUCUGGCCAGAGGAGUGUCUGUUUUUCAAAAUUUCAGAGCUGGAACGCACAUCAUACUAUUCUCUAAUUCAGCCUUUCCGUUUCACAAAUGGAGAAACUAAGGCCCAGAGAAGUUGGUUCACCCCUCCAAACUUGCAUAGCUAGUUAGAGACAGCCAAGUCGACAGCAGAAGGCAUGAGUAACCUGAAGCCAUGGAAACCCCAUUGGAACGUCUUUUCAUGGCUGAAUAUGAAGGCAGCUCAGACCGAGAAGACUGGUGCCCACCGCUCGCCUCCGGGCAUCCCUCCUGGCGGAGUUGGGAAGUCUGGGAUCCUUCGCCUCUCUCUCUGAUCGUGCGGAGCCAUAGCUGCAGAAGCAGCAGCUCUGCCCCCUGCUGGACACGUGAGGCAGCCCGCACUUUUCCUGUUCCAGAUGCAGCGCCCUUGUGGUGCUGGGGGGAAGAGAUUUUUUGGCUCACUCUGAUGGAAACAGCAAAACUGGGCGGAAUAAAAAUCCCAG